ensembl:lncRNA
AUCACAGCCUCGAUAUGAAACUGUGUCACAGUUUGGUCUGUUUCAUCUUCAUUCAAGCACUUCAGGAUGGAAACGCUGAUCUUGCUACUGCUGAAAUUCCCAUCCAUGCAGAAAGGGAGGGAGGAAACAUCACAGUUGGCUGUUCAUUUUCUUUGUCUGGAAGCUUGAGGCUCUUCUGUAAGGAAAAAUGUGAACAAGGAAAAAUUCUCAUUGAAACAACAGAGGACACAGCUCAACAAGGCAGAUACAGCAUUGAAUAUAAAGAAGGAAGCUUUCUAGGAACUAAGACAAUUAUGUAUGCGAGCAUCACAAAGCUGGAAGUGUCUGACUCGGGAGUGUACAGGUGCUCUUUGGGCAGAAUGGGUGUAGAUUUUUUUGAUUCAAACUAUGAAUUUCAGAUCUCUGUCAAAGAAGCCUCCACACCAACAAUGAAGAUGACACCAGAGAGUUCAAUCUCCACUGCUACAUCAUCCUCCACUGAAGCUUUCCACCACUUUCCCACCCAACCUGCAAGUUCAGAUCUGCUGCUAUACACGGGUCUGUUUGUGAUUGUCCUGAUCGCCUUCUUAUCAGCAGCUUUGCUGAUUUUCUGCAAGAGGAGAGCCACUAAACCCAUAAGACCUCCAGUAGAAAAUGUGUACUCCAGCAUCAUAGAUGACAACCAGCUGUAUGAAGAAAUCAGAGAGGAGUUUACACCACUGCCACACGCCCCCAGCCAGAUGGAGUUGAAAGCUCAGAUGACUAAAGCAUCGCCACUUAGAACUUAAAACGGUGUAAGUGGCGUGAUCUUUCAGUUCAGUUCUUUAUAGUGAAUCAGGUAAAAAUAGGAAUAGUCAUUUUUCAGUUCUCAGACACAAAGAUGAAAGUUGUGAAAUAAUUUUUCCCAAUAAACUGUUGACGGUUAAAGAUAUGAACGUUUCUUCUUUAACUGUAAACAGGGUGCACCAAGGUGGCACCGGCCACCACCUCAAAAUUUGCAGGCCUUCCUGCCAAAACUGUCCUGUGAUGGUAAUAAGUUAAAUAAACUUGAGCACAGGAGAGACAAAAACACCCUACAAUGAGUUGAAACAUUAAAUCGUUAUUUAAAGCAAAUUAUUAUAGAUUUCAAAAUCUUAUUUGAUUUUCAUAUUUACCCAUUUUCAGUGAUAUCGACUUUAAUAGCAGGAAAUUAAGUUGACAGCGAUCGUUGCUCAAGAGUUGGCAGUUCGUCUUGUAAUUGGAAGGUUGCCGGUUUGAGCCCCGGCUCAGACAGUCUCGGUCAUUGUGUCCUUGGGCAAGACACUUCACCUACCGCCUGCUGGUGAUGGCCAGAGGGGCC